UAGAAGACUUUGAAAUUCAAUUCAUU
rnacentral:piRNA from 1 species